GCUGACUCAGCCGUCUCUUCUGCACAGUAAUCAGUUAGCAAAGGUUCAGAAACUAGAUUGCUGUUGUGGGCGAGAACAUCUGGGAUUGCAUCUUGACUCGGAAGGUUUGCCACAAAAGAUAGGGAAGACGCAUCAGACGCUUGGUCAACAUGACUUUGUAUCUUCUCCAGGAGAGGUGAUUGGUCCAAAUCAACUUUGUGCAGCAAUUCCUCAUUAGCUUGAUUGUCUACUAAUUCAUCCUUUCCUUCUUCCGGAGAAAUUUGCAAAGAUGAGGC
rnacentral:misc_RNA from 1 species